rnacentral:lncRNA from 1 species
AUGCCAACCCGCAGGGAAGCCGGCGGGAGUGAGUUACCGGCCAAGGCCCAGGAGCGGAGACUGCAGAGGCGUGCGGGGCUCGGCGGCUGGGGGCCCGCUGCUCUCCACCCACCGCCGCUCGCUCCAGCCGCCUGCUGCGGCGCCUGCCGCAUCGGGCCGCCGAAGCCCGAGGCCGGCGGAAACCGGAGGAAGGUGGCCCGGGUCAGGGGCGGCGCGGGCACGAUUCCUUCUCCACGGACCAGGCGUGGGAGCCGCGGGAGUCCAAGGCGCCUGACGAGCGGUGCGCUACCCUGCGCGCCCCGGUCCGGGUCCCAGGCGACUGCGCCGAGCGCCUCCGGAGCCGCGGGGAAACUCCUCCUGCUCGGCUGCUGGCGCCAGACGCGCGGUGACCACGGCCGCCCCCAAGUUCACGGAGGAAGGUGCAAUGCAGAGGGAGCCUGGGGGUUCCGUCCCCGGAGCAGGGAGGCGGGAAAGCAGCCGAGCCCGUACCUUUCGGGCUGGGGGGACACCGGCCGCGCGCCCUUCCCGGGCGUCCCGGACAGGAAAAUCACCACGAAGGGAGGGCCGGGGAAAAGCAGCGGGUGGCUUCAGGACAAGAAAACAAUCUACCGGGCACCUGGGUGGCUCAGUUGGUUGAGCAGCUGCCUUCGGCUCAGGUCAAGAUCCUGGAGUCCCGGGAUCGAGGCCCGCAUCGGGCUCCCUGCUCGGCAGGGAGUCUGCUUCUCCCUCUGACCCUCCCCCCUGUCAUGUGCUCUCUCUCUCAUUGUCUCUCUCU